AAAGUUCCCUUCGGGGGGCGAGUAGAGCGGCGAACGGGUGAGUAACACGUAGGUAACCUACCUUGGAGCCCGGGAUAACCUGUCGAAAGGCGGGCUAAUACCGGAUAAGACCACGAGAGCUUCGGCUCAUGGGGUAAAAGGUGGCCUCUUCUUGAAAGCUAUCACUCUGGGAUGGGCCUGCGCGCCAUUAGCUUGUUGGUGAGGUAAAGGCUCACCAAGGCUGAGAUGGCUAGCUGGUCUGAGAGGAUGAUCAGCCACACUGGGACUGAGACACGGCCCAGACUCCUACGGGAGGCAGCAGUGGGGAAUAUUGGACAAUGGGCGAAAGCCUGAUCCAGCAAUGCCGCGUGGGUGAAGAAGGCUCGCGGGUUGUAAAGCCCUUUCAGUAGUGAGGAAAAUCCCAAUGAUAAUACCAUUGGGCCUUGACGUUAACUACAGAAGAAGCACCGGCUAACUCUGUGCCAGCAGCCGCGGUAAUACAGAGGGUGCGAGCGUUAAUCGGAAUUACUGGGCGUAAAGCGCGCGUAGGCGGCUAACUAAGUCGGAUGUGAAAGCCCCGGGCUCAACCUGGGAAUUGCAUUCGAAACUGGUUGGCUAGAGUAUGGUAGAGGGUAGCGGAAUUCCAGGUGUAGCGGUGAAAUGCGUAGAUAUCUGGAGGAACAUCAGUGGCGAAGGCGGCUGCCUGGACCAAUACUGACGCUGAGGUGCGAAAGCGUGGGGAGCGAACAGGAUUAGAUGCCCUGGUAGUCCACGCCGUAAACGAUGUCAACUAGGUGUUGGGAAGUUUAACUUCUUAGUAUC
rnacentral:rRNA from 1 species